rnacentral:lncRNA from 1 species
GUGUUCCUUCCUUCCUUCUGUCCCUCACCAGACAGCUGCCUCUUAACAAGGUGACAAAGCUCCGGACAGGGUCUUUCCUGCGCUGGAGAACAUCUGCUGGCUCAAUCACCAAGCAGUCAUUCUCUCACAGACUCUCCUUUGGAAGCCCCCAAGGCACUCAGGAACUUGGGAACAAGGUUUUUCCUUACCAAAAGCACUCAAGGCAGGAAGUGGGACUUCCUUCAGGCUGCCCUGCUCAGCUUCCUGGCUGUACAAGAAAACAGGGAAGAACAGGCAAUAGAAAAGCACUAAUUAGAAAACACACACACACACACACAAAGCAAUAGUGUUGAGAUGAUAAAAUUAAUCUCAAGUCUGAGUUCAUGCGAAAUGGAGUCCUGGCUGGCAUUUAUUAUUUUCAUCUGCCAAAUAUUGGCAAAGCUCUUUGGAAGCGUCUCUAGCAUUCCUUGGGAGUGAAAGAGUAGAAAUGGGGAUUUUGCUGGAGCCCAAAGAGGUGAUACCUAGAGAACCCAGAGGACAGAACACUGUGAUACCACCAUCUAAAAGAGGCUUGCCAAGUUUUGAUCUCUGUUAGGGCAUCUGGGCUGAGCAGCAUAGCUUACUGGUUCAUACAGAAAUGAGCCUAUGACAUUAACCUCCUAGGUCCCUGUGCCCUAAGCAGAGAUGCUAACUGAAGCAUUACUUUAUCAUACCUAAAAAGGUAUUUAAGACUAAAAUAACAGAUAGGCAGAAAAUGCUAACUUAUAUUGUUGAAGAAAGGCUCCUAAAAUAUUCUAUUCUUGAUUUGGGUACUUAUCCUUUAAGUGACAUAUCAAAGAACUCAUUUCCAAUUCAAGAUCAUGAAGAUUUAUGGCUAUAGUUUCUUCACAGAGUUUCACAGUUUUAGCUCAUACCAUUUGGUAUUUGAUCCAUUUUUAAGUGAAUUUUUAUGUAUGGCAUGAGGUAGGGGCACUCCUUUGCAUGUGAUUAUCUGGUUGUCCCUGACCAUUUGUUGAAAAAACUACCCCACCUCCAUUGAAUUGCCUUGGAACUAAUUGAGUGUAAAUGUUAGAGUUUAUUUUAAGACUCUCAAUUCUGUUCCAAUGAUCUAUUCUUAUGCCAGCACCGCACUGCCUUGAUACUAUAGCUUUUUAAGAAGG